GAGGAGAGGUGUUCCCUAAUGGGCAGGAGGAAUGAGUUGGAGCAGGCCAUGGGGCCCAGAAGCUAAGAGAGGAGAGCUUGUUGGGAGGAUGAGGGAUGCGCUGCAGUAAAGGAGGCAGGCCAGGCACCACGAGGGAGGGAGCGGAUGGAGAGAAUCCAGGGACUUCACCCCAGAAGGGGCAAAGUGUGUGACGCAGUUCAUGGAUGACAAAGCAUUGCGUGCGUAAGACAAGCAAGGAGUGGGGAGAGGUGGGAGAUGGCACUAGACAGGGAGGAUGUAGGAGAUGCAGGCACCUUGGAAAUGCUGGGACCACAGCGUCAGGAAGGGCAUGGGAGAUGAUGCAAGGUCAGGUGGAUUGACUGUGAGACAGAAAACAACUGUUUCCAAUAUGGCGGAACCAAAAAUGUAGGAUGAUUAGGGUGACUUAAGAUAGCAGAUGAAUCCAAUGCAGCAUAUUGUGGAAAAAAAGAUGGCAAUGUUCGCAUUAGCAAGGGCAGGACAGGAAGGGAGCAGACAUCAAGGAAAUGACUGCAGAAUGCAAUAACUGACUUAGGGGUGGCAGUGGCAGGAGCAGAUGCUGAAGAUGAAGCUGAGAGUCUCUGGAAAAUAGCAGUAGAGGGAUAUGCAGCCUAUCUUAAAUUAAAAAAAAAAAAUUGUUGUCAAACAGUCCUCAAGCAUGAUGUUGGACUCAAGAUGGCUCCAGGAAGUUGAACAGAAAAGGACAGAAGGUGCAUGACAGGUGGAGAAUCUCAUGAAUUUGAGGGUCUCAACAUUGGUAAAGGGAGCUAGUGAAAAAAGGGGAGGCAGAAUUCAGAGUCCCAAACUGGGGUGUCAGCAGAUCUCAGGACGCAAGUUGGUGGCAUGUCUGCUAUCAAGACCAGACCACAGAGGCAGAGUGGAGCAACAGCUCCGGCAGCCUUUAGGAGAAAGUGGGUGAGGGCCACAGUUAUUGGUUAAACAAAGGAAGUGGUCAGCACUGCACACUAACAUGACACCUGCAUAGAAACCACAGGCAGCUGACCUUAGGGAUUUAGUGAACUUAAGCAGACUGAUCCCAGGUUGUACAUAGAAGUGUGUUUGCAAAUACCAGAGGGGCAGUUAGGAACCAAUGUGAAGGAGACAAUUUGCAACAGUCAUUGAAUCCAAGUUUCUGCUGUUUAAGAGUGGCUGAAAGGAUGGAGGCAUAGCUUGUAAUGCAAAAUAUAUGCAGAGGUACAUAGUGAGGCUGACGAGGAGGGCCUUUGAAAGUUCAGUGGGAGAUGUUUAGGUUGGUAGCAAAUGGGCACAGCGGGAGAGAGUAUGCCCAGGGUUUGGAGAGGGUCAGGGUGCUGGGCGCUGGGAUGAACGCUUCAUGUUUGGAAGACUCAAGGUAGAGAGCAAGACAGGAGGAAAGGCAGAAUGGGAUGGAGGGACCUGUGUAAGAAGAAUGUCUUAAACAAUAAACACAGGUGUAGUGAAGGUAGUGUGGCCAAGAGGAAAUGGUGGAUCCAGAUGGCCUCGAUGGGUAGUGGACGGGCAGGCACGCUAGGCAGGGGUGUAUUGGCUCACUGGGGCCCUAUCCGAGGUAAAUAGAAAUAAUGGAGGCAAGGAAAGGAGGAAGAGGAAGAAGUGGAGGGACUGGCUGUGGAGUUUCGUGGGAACUCAUUUCAGGGAACUGAAAGAGAAAAGAGGAAACAAGGCUGGAGUGGAAGAGGGCAAGGAAAAGGCAGCCUCAAGAAGGCGCUGGCCUGAAUCAGUGGAAGGUCUCGAGAAGCAACAGAAAACAGUGUUGAAGAGAAGGUGGGGUACGGAGAGGAUGGAAAAGUUUGAGCAGUGAGCGCAGGUCAAAGCAGCGAGCACAUCCCUAGAGAAGAGAUGACCGAGUCCGAUGAAGUGACAGGCCCUGGGUGGUUGAGAGAAAUAUGGACCACAGACAGGCAGGUGCCUUCCCUUGGCCAAGGAAGCAAAGAGACGAAAUGUGUCACAAGGGGAAAGCCUGCAAGAAAGAAUGUGGAAGUGGGACGAUGAGGCAGCGCAACUGGGGAGUCACCUACAGAAGACAGACAGGGUGGAGGGUCCCCCAGGGAAGGAUGGAGGGCAGAGAGUGUGGUGGAAGGGAGCCGGGCAGGACAGCCACGGGCAGGACAGCUACAGGCAGGACAGCCACGGGUGGAGCCAGGUGAAGGGGGAGGUCCCAGAGUAGGAACAAAGGAACCUGGAGUGCUCAGGGCAGGCUGCAAGGUUUGGCAUGGGGAAGGGGAGGCAUAAAAGGGGUGGACAGCAAUGGGCAGGAAGGAACGGCUGCUCUUAAAGCCUUGAACUUUAUUGCAAAGGUGCAAAUCUUGGGCCAGGCUAUUUACUAUGGAUCUGGUGGGGAAGGGUUGUUUGGUGGGGAUGGAGUAUGGGGUAGUGUCUGGGUUGGGGUUGACUGGGUUGGAAAGGAGGGAAGGAUUGGGAGCAGUGGGGUAUGAGUGGGAGAGGAAGUUGGGAACCAGAUGGGGAGAACCAAGUCAAAUUCUGGGUUGGAAAAAAACCUUAUUUAACUGAGCUAGUGGGUUACAUGUCUAAUGCUGACGGUGAUGAAUACAGGCUGGGGAAGACUUCUGAAUCCACCAAAAGAAGUAAAUGAUAGUGGUUUCUUGUAGGUCAAAAGGUCAAGGUAAAUGGUUGGUUUUUAGGACACAACUGUGAACUUGGGAAGCAAAGGGGGUAGUUUCUGCAGGACUGUCUUGUCAGGGAUCUGAAAAAAGGAGGCGGGAUUAAGGAAAACUGACAAUAGUAAGCACCCAUAAUAAACAGGUUGAGACCGAAGAUAUUGACACAGUGCCUGAGAGUCCUAUCAGGUGGGAGGACAAGGAGUAUGGGGUGGGGAACAAGUCUCCAAUGCACACUGGUGUUUGGGGUCAGAGGUGUGUUAAAGGGCAAAUAGGGAAGGAAUGAAGUGGUUCCAAGUAGAGACUGCCAGGCCUAAUGGGGGUGGGGAGGCAAAAGAGAUGUUUGAGUGGGAAGUUUCAUGGCAGGAAUUAGAAUGGUCUGGGUGUGAAACGAGGGAGUGAGGCCUAGGGAGUCAAGGUGGCCGUCCACAGCAGUGAUUCUUAUCUGGGGUGGGGGGUGGUUUUCACCUGGAGGGAGGGCUGGGGGUAUGGACCCCCAGGCAGGCCUAUCCAAUCAUCUGAGGGGUGUUGUGCUCAGAAAAAGUAAGGGGAAAAAGCAGUCUCUAAAAGGAACACAGACAAUAGCAAAGGAAGGAACUGAGCCCAAAAGAUGAUUCUGAUAGGCUGUCUUGGGGUCCUGCAUCCUCAGGUGAGAAUCACUGGUGGACGUGGGAGGAGGGAGGGCUGGACAGAGAUGUGGAGUGUGAGGGGAAGAGGCACAUGUGGCGGGGCUGAGGGAGGCAUCAGGGUCAAGACUGUCAGGUGUGGGAACACAGUUCCCGACAGACCACGACAAGGAUGACAGCGAGCAAAUGGAUGUAGCCGCAAGGCACCCGGGACCAUGGUGGUGGAGCUGGGAUUUCCAACGCCUUGGUCCCAGACUGGAGGACUCAGGUGGAGGAGUGAGGCCAAGAGAAGGGCCCUGUGACACAGAGGAAGUAGGCUGUGCGGGUGAGAGCAGAGAGCAGGGGAUCUGUUGUCACGGGGAAGGAAGGCGCAAAGGGGGAUGGAGACAGCGUGGAAGGAGGGUGUCUUGAAGACAUGGGCACUAAGGAGGCACAAGGCAGGAGGAGGGUGGGACUGGCAGGAGCACCCAGGAGGAGUGGAGAGUUGGGUCUCAGGCAGGGCAGGAGAGGUAGGCUGAGACUGGGUGCAUUUGUGUCGAUGUGGGGAGGGGGGUGGGGGGAGAGAAGAGUGAGUGCUGAUGACAAAACUGCUGCGGUGACAGGAAGAAGGUAGGAGAUUCAGAGGUGCAUGCUCCCCAGAGUGUUUUCACACAGUGUGAACAAAAGGACGUGAAAGGAAUCAGGAAAGUUUAGGGGAGUCAGGAUUGUGGGGCCCUGGAAAGAACACAUAGCCUGGGCCACUGGGACAUGGGCACAGAUAGCUGGGCAGAGCUUGUGGAUUCGGUAUGGUACGAGUGACGCAGAGAUGUCUGCAUCUGCUGGAGCAGUGGGUGCGGGGCCAGGUCAAGAAGGGAGGACGCACCUGAGAACAUGACUCAGGCAGUGAGAGAAUCACAGAUGGUGCUGGGAGAAGGCAGGAUGGUGCAGGUGGGACAGUACCGUGCUGUGCAGCAGAGGAGGAAAGCAGGAGGAACGAGCAGCCUGGGCCCAGGAGCUGGGAGAGCAGAGGGUGAGUUGACAGUAUGUUGGAGAGCAGAAUAGAGGAGAAGUGUUCCCCAACGGGCAGGAAGAAUGAAUUGGAGCAGGUUAUGGAGCCUAGCAGCUUAGAGAGGUGAGCUUGUUGAGAGGAUCAGGGAAUGUGCUGCAGCAGUAGGGGCACGCCAAGGAGCAAGAGUGGGUGUGAAUGCAGACAGUCCUCUUUUUUGCCCAAAAGGGGCAAAGUGUUUGAUGCAGGUCAUGGAGAAAGCAUGGUGUGGGUAAGACAAGGGAGGAAUGAAGGAGAGGUGAGAUGAGUCCACAGGAGCAGGGGGUACAUUGUACAGUAGCUUUAGAUGGCACUUUAAGGAAGUAUAGGCAGAAAGUUGAGAAACUGAAAUAAUUAUGAGUGAUUAUAUGGCAGGCAAAGUGUUUUCCUAAUAUUGUUACAAACAUUGUUUGAUGCAGGUUGUGGAGAAGAAAGCAUGGUGAGGAGGUUAAGACAAGGGAGGAAUGAAAGAAGGUUAGAGGAGGCCAUAGGAGCAGGAGCAAGGGGUAGAUGUGUUGGCACCUUGGAAACAUUGAGGACAGUGUGUCAGUAAAGGGCAUGGCAAGAUGAUGAAAGGCCAGGGGAUACAACAGAGGGAGGAAACCACUGUUCCUUAGAGGCAGAACUGAGAAUACAGGAUGGCUAGGAGUGAAGUGAUACAGCAGAUGGAUCAGUACAGCAGGUCGAGGACGUGGAUGCUGACAGUAAUGGCAUCGGUGAGGGCAGGGAAGGAAGGGGUCAGAGCUCCAGAAAGAUUCUUGAGUCUGUGGACUGACUUGGAGGUGGCAGGGCACAUAGGACUGGAUGUUGAAGAUGAAAAGGAGUGUCUAGAAGAUGACCAUGGGAGGCAACACUGUGUGUAGACUGCAAAGUUUCCAUCCGCAUGUAGUGAGAGAGAAGCUGAAGUCUGGCAGCCAUCGGAAGGCAGUUUUUGGAAUGCAAAUUGGAUGACGGAAGUUUAUGGCAAAAGAAGGGACAGGAGGCAGGUAAGAGGGGAGAUAACUUUAUGAAUUUGUGCAGGGCUAAGCAUCAGUAAAAAGGGCUGACAUGAAAUAGGGGACGGUGGAAUGCAGAGUUCCCAAACUGGGGGCACUGGCAAAUCUCAGGGGCACGUCAGUCGUAUGUUCGGGGUAACAACAUUUAACCUCUCGUAGUAACUACUUCAUUGAGUGGGAAAACAGAAAAAGAAAAAACUUUGUGGAGGGUGAUGGUAAAGCAACCCCAACCGAUAUGGAAAGCAGUGUUAGCCAACUGAUAUGGAGGGCAGUGUUGGUAAUCACUGGAAGUCAAGAUUUUGAAAGCAAAAGAUUAACAAUGUAAAAUUUGCAAGUGUGGGUGUUACACAUAGGUUAUUAUGUGUUUAAUGUGAUCUCCAGCAAAAUUAGCAGAGGCCAAAAUAAAACGAAGUAUUUGUCUAUUUAACAAGAUUGGAAUUAAGGGGACAGUAUACAGGUUAUAUCAAUUUGGGAAUUAUUUAGGAAUGUUAGAGUUGGUAAGGUGGGUAUUGUUGUCCCUUGAUCCAAAGUAUAGAAUAAUGGCAAAGAAGAAAAGUAUAUAGAAAGUCCUUGUCAUUAGGGAAUUUGCUGGCUGCCUUAAAACUCCUUCAGGGAAACACUUCAUGAAUGCUUAGAGUCAGGAGAAUAAACGGUCCCAUAUAGAGAUAGAUUUAUGAAGCCAAGUCUGAAGGAAGAGCUUCAUUAGCAAUCCCCAGAAUGUCAGUUCUACUAGCCAAGGACGCAGGUGAGUAUGUUGGAUACCAAGAGAACAGAAAGGAAGUGUUCUGAACACUGGAGGUGGGUCAAGGAGGAAGCUUAUACAUAUUCACAUGUGAAUCGAUUUCAAGGAUGGAUGAACAAAGACUGGGUGGUACUAAUAUGGCAGGUUUUUUUUUCCCCUGAGGCAAAAGGCAGAAAUGAGUGGGUAUACCAUGAUUAAACUGCAUACUGUAGAGAUGGGAUUAUUUAAGUCAGCAAUAAAAAUUAGAGAUACUGAGGACGAUGGGGUAGAAAAGAGAUAUCAAAUAGGUAGGAAGAUGGCUUGAAAGGGAAUAGGAGAAAUUUCAGUGAGUCUGAGGAAUGGCAGACUGGGAAUAAGACAAGUAAGUGGGUGAAUAAGGAGGUCUCAGACUGAGAAUCCUGGCAGAUCUACCAAUGGGUCAGAUUGUAGGAAUACUGAUUUUAAAGUCAGGCUGAGGCCAAUUCUAGUGAUAAAGGAAGGGGGAAGGGUGGCUGAAUUGUAAUGUUCAAUCCCCCUUUUUUAGUAUUUGAGUUAAAAUUCAGAUUAAAUGCUUGGCUUAGAAGAAUGCAAAGUUUCCUCAUUAAUAUGGAUCCCAGUGAGUGAGUGGAGGUGAGUUAAAGAACUCUGAGGCAAAUCUUACUUAAGUGAAGUUGUGUUUUUAGUAUAGAAUGCUGAGUUAAUAUGGUUAAUACUGAACAAAAAAUAAUGGAAGGGAGACUACAGAUUCAGAGAAGAGCUAUGAGUCUAUCAGACUGUAUGGUAGCUUACAAUGGCACUUUAAGGAAGUGUAGGCAGAAAGUCAAGAAAUUGAAAUAAUUAUGAAUAAGUCUAUGGCAGGUACUAUUUCUAAUGGAAAUCAGAAAAUAAACUCACAUACAUGUACUAUUACAGCUGAUCUUAGUAUGAAUAUUUUCUAUUAAAGAUUGUUUUAAAAUAAGUUGUUUACAUUUGUCGAAAUGGUUCCAGAUGAUGAGAAAUAUGAUGCAAUAAAACCUGAUAAAUAAAAGCAAUACAAAGAUUAGAGGGGUUCCGAAUAGGUAGUGGAAUAAAAAGUUAAAUUGGUAGUGGCAUUAAACAGGUCCAACAUGUGGAACAAUCGGUAGAAUGUUGUGUAUAUAACACAUAUUGUUACUGGUGCAAUAAAUAUUCAGGAGAAACAAAGCUGCUGACAGACAAUGAAUGCUUGGAAGGAAUCUUGCCUUAAAGGCUUUUCUAAAACUUUUUGGGUAAAGGACAAAUUCUUGAAGGAUGAAAGAUAAUAAGUAGGACUAAUUACAGAGAGACUUAUGAUGCCCAUAGUCUUUCAAGAAAUUGCUUUUAAGAGAAGGUGUUAUGGUAAUAUAUUGAUGUUGGGUUAACGCAAAUUUUUCAGAUAGGGUAGAUUUUUAUAUAUUUAUAAAGUAAAGGGGAGGAGGAAAGAUUAAACGUAGAGUGAAGAAAGGAAUAAUUGAUGGAAAAACUUUCUGGAAGAGAUUAAGGAUAUGUGUUUUUUGAACUCUUGGGAAGACUUGAUUCUAGAGAGGAUAAAGGGAAUAAGUGGAUAGUUCUAGAAUUAAACACCAAAAGGUUCUAUGUGUCUGGAACCAUGUAAAGCAAAUUACCUAUUAUUUCAUUUCAUUUCAUUUCAUCUUAUAAAAAUCCUAAGAGAUCAAAUAAUUUGUCCAAGAUUACACAGUCAGUAUAUAGCAGGGUCAGAAUUCAAAUCCUCUUCUGUCUAUCAAACCUAUAUUCCUUUCUAUUAUGAUAUGUUCCUUUCAAGUUGAAGGAAAUCAAAAAUCAAGAAUUUGCUUUGUCAUUGUGAUUAUAAGGGAAAAUAUUAUUUUUCUGAAAUGAGACACACUGAUGUUUAAGACCUUAAGGUGAUAAGUAAAAUUUGGAAUAUCUGUGAUGGGAAAAUGCAAAAAAGGAGGGAAUGGAUAAAAGAUAUCUAUUACCAUCUAUGGCCUGGUAUUUCACUUCUUUCAUUGUAUAACAUAGAUUUUAGAUUGGUCAUGGAUGAAAAAUUUGAGAAUUCUGACAAAAACUAAAUAGAAAGGAGUUUUUAAGCAGGUAUAUGAUGGGUCAAAUAUAACUUACUACUAACAAAACAAACAAUUCCCUAUAUGCCAAACUUGUGUAAACAAAAAUCAAACAAACUAUCAAGCAAAAGAGUCCAUAGCCAGCAGACCAAAUGUUGAAAUAUCUGGGCUAAUUUGUAAGAUCUGUGUUUUAAAACUCCUUAGUGAAGAGGGGCGAGAAAACCUCUCUCCUCUUUUUCCUCUCUUGGUGGAAAUGUUUUCUUGUUGUUGGUUUUUUCCUAUACUAUAUAUGUAAUUUCUAUAUUGUUUUGUGUAUUUUGGUAUUAUAAAAUUGUACUUCUUAGAUUCUGUUAAUAAUGCUUACUGGGGUGUGAGGCACCUGCAUUAUCAGUAAAUUGAACCUGGAGAAGUGGGAGGAGCUAGUAUUCUCAAUUGGCAAGGGAUUGAUUCUUCGAUGGGUUCAGCAUUUCACUUUCCUCUGAAAUUAAGUGGGAAAGUAAUAGCAUCCCUUAAAAAGCAGAACAUUGGUGAGAGGUAGAAUAGCAGGAGGAAUUUUGAAACAUGGAGAGAUGGCUACUGGAAAAAAACCAAUGACGUGCAGAGUCUCCCAAGAUGAUGGUAGAAGCCACAGGACUACAUUAAGAUUGGGCCCAAAUACUAGUUUAGAAGAGGGUAAAUAAAACUAGCUUUACUUAAGAGUACAGCCAGCUUAAUUACUGGCUAGUGGACAUAUUUCAGACAAAUCUAACUGAAGAGAAAAACAGACCAGGAGAGAAAGCCAAGUUAUAAGGAAAUAGAGAAACCUCACAAAGGGAUAAAGGAGGUAAUUAAAGGUUAAAGCCAGAUAGCCUAGAGCUCAAAGGAGAAAUCCUGGAGGCCAGAUAGGAAAGUGCCUUCCUACUCAGGGGGUUAGGGAUCCAGGGUGGCUGGAGAAUAGAAGUAGAGUUCUGCCCAGGGCCAGAGGGAAAAACCUGGGAUUCAGACACAGCAGUGGUGCCAACUUGAAUCUACCUCGUGCUAGAGUCUGAGUAGCCUGGUCUAUAACCCAACACAGAUAACACUGGACAGGGGCUCCCAGGAAGCAACAUCUAAGAAGGGAGUUUGGAGAGGGGCUAAAAGAAAGCAGGUUAAGCCCCAAAUGUAACGGAAUGAUGACCAGGGAUAACUAUUUACUAGUGCUUUUAUGAUUUCUUGUAACUCUGUAACUUCCCCAGUAUUUGUUAAUUUUUUUGACUUCUGUUUUUCCUGUACUUCUUAUGUGUAGUAAAAGUUUUCAAAACAUAAA